rnacentral:lncRNA from 7 species
UGAAGAGAUAAAAAGAUUUCCCUUUUUCUUCCCUUGAAAUACAAUCCAGUAAUGAGAGAGAAAAUUUUCCUCACUGUCAUUUAGGAAACAAUCAGUUCAGGCUGUCCACCAGGCUUGUUACUAACUGCUCAGUGCUCGUCCCUCGCUCAGUUGGAGUAUGGCUGCACACACAGGUUGCUCUGGCAAAGAGCCCAGACUGUCCAACUCCUGUCUCCCUCAGUCUCAGCCCAGUUCCGGGGAGAAUGAGGAAAGGAACGUGGUGAGGCUUCUGAACGACGUGGUGGGAGUUGAGGGAGGCCAGAACAAGGGGCUUGCUCACAGGAAGGCAUCUGCAGUGCAGGGACAGAUAGCAUCCCAAACCCACCCUGCAGAGCCUUUCUCUCCCAAGUUCCCUCUGCCUCUGACCCUGGAUCUGCAACCUGGAUCUGUCCCUUGCAGCACCUGCUGCCCACAUCUCCUUCUUAUCAUUACUCACAGAACCCAGCCCAGCCCCUGCACACUCAGCUGUGCCCUGCAGACCCCUCCUGGUAGCAGGACAGUGUUCAGGAGCAUCUCCCUGUUUGCAGGUACCAAAUAGCACAUCAGACAAACCCUGAUGCGGUCAGCAGAGGGAUUCUGGUGCUGUCUGUAGUCAGAGGAGUGGGUACAGGGAGUUUAUGACGUGUCUGGCAGCUCUGAUUUUGGCCCGGUAUAAUAAUUAAGAGUGUCAAUGACGUACGCAAAAUCACUGUCCAUUUUCGUUAGGAUAAAAUUAAGGCACAGACACCACAAAGUUCUUACCUUAAAGAUUCACCCUGCCUUCUUGAUAUACGUGGAAGUCUCAAUGGAAGUGCCCCAGAACAGACAGACUCGUGCCCCAGGCAGCAGCUGUGGCAGCAGAAGGCCCCUGCCCUGCCGGGGGGCUCCUUCCCCCCACACGACUCCCCGCAGCACCCUGGGCAGCUCCCCAGGCAGGCUGAGUGCUGAGCCCCAGGGGCUGUGUGCCGGGCAG